CCCUUAGAUGUUCUGGGCUGCACGCGCGCUACACUGAUACUUUCAGCGAGUCCACCACCUUGCCUGGGAGGGUGGGGUAACCUCUGGAAAGUGCAUCGUGAUGGGGAUCGAUUAUUGUAAUUAUUAAUCUUCAACGAGGAAUUCCUAGUAAGCAUGUGUCAUCAGCCCGUGCUGAUUACGUCCCUGCCCUUUGUACACACCGCCCGUCGCACCUACCGAUUGAAUGGUCCGGUGAAAUCUUGGGAUUUUGUUUUGUUUGCAUUUAUUUGUAUCGAGACGAGAGAACUUGAGUAAACCUUACCAUUUAGAGGAAGGUGAAGUCGUAACA
rnacentral:rRNA from 1 species